CCGCCUGGGGAGUACGGCCGCAAGGUUAAAACUCAAAUGAAUUGACGGGGGCCCGCACAAGCGGUGGAGCAUGUGGUUUAAUUCGAUGCAACGCGAAGAACCUUACCUGGUCUUGACAUCCACAGAAGAAUCCAGAGAUGGAUUUGUGCCUUCGGGAACUGUGAGACAGGUGCUGCAUGGCUGUCGUCAGCUCGUGUUGUGAAAUGUUGGGUUAAGUCCCGCAACGAGCGCAACCCUUAUCCUUUGUUGCCAGCGGUUAGGCCGGGAACUCAAAGGAGACUGCCAGUGAUAAACUGGAGGAAGGUGGGGAUGACGUCAAGUCAUCAUGGCCCUUACGACCAGGGCUACACACGUGCUACAAUGGCGCAUACAAAGAGAAGCGACCUCGC
rnacentral:rRNA from 1 species